rnacentral:tRNA from 1 species
GCCUGGGUGGCUCAGUCGGUUGAGCGUCCGACUUCGGCUCAGGUCAUGAUCUCACGGUUUGUGAGUUUGAGCCCCACGUCAGGCU